CCAACCUGAGAGGAUUUAGGAAGUUGUGAAACAUGAGUGAAAAACAGCCAUUCAUAUAGAAAAGCAGCCUGGGUGGGUCUGUACCUGGGGUGGGAAGCAGACUCAGGGGAACUUCCAUGUGGGGAAAAUAGUAUUAGUGAGAUUGAUGGAGUCUUAGCUAUAGAACCAGCUGCUGGCUUUGUGACUCUGUGGGGGAACCAUUUAGACAAGGGAUGAUGGCCUCUGCUCACCUUGACGCCAGACACUCCAUUUUCUACCUGUGUGCCACUGGUGACUUUCAAGCUGCUACCUUGGUGCUGGAGCCCAGAGGGAGUGAGUCUGAGUAUUUGAUUUUGUUUCUUAAUAUGAUUUCCGCCACCAGCGUUUAAGUUCUGCACAGAGGGCUGUGAGAGGACAUGCUGCGGCUGCAGCCUGGAAGAGAGAUGUGCUGGUGAGCCAUCUCGGACUAUACAGAGGAGGAUGAUACACUGGAGGAAGGCAGAGCAAAGAGUAGAAGCAACUCUGGUCCUUUCAGACCAGAAUGAGAACUCCCCCGCCAGCAUGGAUCUCUCACCUUGAGUCGAGGACUUCAAAGAGAAAUAAAUAUUCUGGGGUCUCUUUGUUAUUAUAAUUGGCUUAGCCUCUGCCCUAAGUAAUAUACAGAAUACAUUUUUAA